rnacentral:rRNA from 1 species
CCAGCAGCCGCGGUAAUUCCAGCUCCAAUAGCGUAUAUUUAAGUUGUUGCAGUUAAAAAGCUCGUAGUUGGAUUUCGGAAGGGUGCUGCCGGUCCGCCGUUUCGGUGUGCACUGGCAGCGCCUUUCUUGCUGCCGGGGACGGGCUCCUGAGCUUUAUUGCUCGGGACUCGGAGUUGGCGAGGUUACUUUGAGUAAAUUAGAGUGUUCAAAGCAGGCCUACGCUCUGAAUACAUUAGCAUGGAAUAACACGAUAGGACUCUGGCCUAUCUCGUUGGUCUGUGGGACCGGAGUAAUGAUUAAGAGGGACAGUCGGGGGCAUUCGUAUUUCAUUGUCAGAGGUGAAA